GAUUCCCCCGAUAUUAAGCAUGACUGUAAACAAAAUUUGAAAUAUUGUAGAUGCAGGUCAAUAUUAAUCCUUAGGGCGGAAAGACUUGUCGAAAGAAUAUUGCAGUUCCAAACUUGGCACUUUACUCAAGAAAAUGCACAAUCGCUUGCUUCAGCUAAAGCAAACACAUGAGGAUCUAAUGACCCCAUCUUGGCCAAAUGAUAUUUGUGAACAUGAUCCUAUACAAAAUAUGAG